AGAGUUUGAUCCUGGCUCAGAACGAACGCUGGCGGCGUGGAUAAGACAUGCAAGUCGAACGGGAGAAUUGCUAGCUUGCUAAUAAUUCUCUAGUGGCGCACGGGUGAGUAACACGUGAGUAACCUGCCUCUUAGUGGGGGAUAGCCCUGGGAAACCGGGAUUAAUACCGCAUACGAUUGAAAGAUCAAAGCAGCAAUGCGCUAGGAGAUGGGCUCGCGGCCUAUUAGUUAGUUGGUGAGGUAACGGCUCACCAAGGCGAUGACGGGUAGCCGGUCUGAGAGGAUGUCCGGCCACACUGGAACUGAGACACGGUCCAGACACCUACGGGUGGCAGCAGUCGAGAAUCAUUCACAAUGGGGGCAACCCUGAUGGUGCGACGCCGCGUGGGGGAAUGAAGGUCUUCGGAUUGUAAACCCCUGUCAUGUGGGAGCAAAUUAAAAAGAUAGUACCACAAGAGGAAGAGACGGCUAACUCUGUGCCAGCAGCCGCGGUAAUACAGAGGUCUCAAGCGUUGUUCGGAAUCACUGGGCGUAAAGCGUGCGUAGGCUGUUUCGUAAGUCGUGUGUGAAAGGCAGGGGCUCAACCCCUGGAUUGCACAUGAUACUGCGAGACUAGAGUAAUGGAGGGGGAACCGGAAUUCUCGGUGUAGCAGUGAAAUGCGUAGAUAUCGAGAGGAACACUCGUGGCGAAGGCGGGUUCCUGGACAUUAACUGACGCUGAGGCACGAAGGCCAGGGGAGCGAAAGGGAUUAGAUACCCCUGUAGUCCUGGCAGUAAACGGUGCACGCUUGGUGUGCGGGGAAUCGACCCCCUGCGUGCCGGAGCUAACGCGUUAAGCGUGCCGCCUGGGGAGUACGGUCGCAAGAUUAAAACUCAAAGAAAUUGACGGGGACCCGCACAAGCGGUGGAGUAUGUGGCUUAAUUCGAUGCAACGCGAAGAACCUUACCUGGGCUUGACAUGUAAUGAACAACAUGUGAAAGCAUGCGACUCUUCGGAGGCGUUACACAGGUGCUGCAUGGCCGUCGUCAGCUCGUGUCGUGUGAUGUUUGGUUAAGUCCAGCAACGAGCGCAACCCCUGUUGCCAGUUACCAUCGAGUAAUGUCGGGGACUCUGGCGAGACUGCCCAGAUCAACUGGGAGGAAGGUGGGGACGACGUCAGGUCAGUAUGGCCCUUAUGCCCAGGGCUGCACACGUACUACAAUGCCCAGUACAGAGGGGGCCGAAGCCGCGAGGCGGAGGAAAUCCUGAAAACUGGGCCCAGUUCGGACUGUAGGCUGCAACCCGCCUACACGAAGCCGGAAUCGCUAGUAAUGGCGCAUCAGCUACGGCGCCGUGAAUACGUUACCCGGGUCUUGCACACACCGCCCGUCA
rnacentral:rRNA from 1 species